ensembl:lncRNA
CCAUUUUAACUUUGUAUAAUGUGUAUUUCUUCUGCCACAUGACAUCACCCCUGUGCUGUGAGCCUGUGAUGGAAUGGGCCAAUAAGGGGGAGUUCAGUUACCUGUUAAAAGGGUUGGCGUGGUAGUAUUGGGGAGGUGUGAUAGUAUUGAGGAGGUGUGGUAGUAUUGGGGAGGUGUGAUAGUAUUGAGGAGGUGUGGUAGUAUUGGGGAGGUGUGAUAGUAUUGAGGAGGUGUGGUAGUAUUGGGGAGGAGUGAUAGUAUUGAGGAGGUGUGGUAGUAUUGGGGAGGAGUGAUAGUAUUGAGGAGGUGUGGUAGUAUUGAGGAGGUGUGGUAGUAUUGGGGAGGUGUGAUAGUAUUGAGGAGGUGUGGUAGUAUUGGGGAGGAGUGAUAGUAUUGAGGAGGUGUGGUAGUAUUGAGGAGGUGUGGUAGUAUUGGGGAGGUGUGGUAGUAUUGGGGAGGAGUGGUAGUAUUGGGGAGGAGUGGUAGUAUUGGGGAGGAGUGGUAGUAUUGGGGAGGUGUGGUAGUAUUGGGGAGGAGUGAUAGUAUUGGGGAGGUGUGAUAGUAUUGGGGAGGUGUGGUAGUAUUGGGCUUCUGUGCUGAGAGUUUCUUUGAUGAGU